AAUAGAACCCCACAAUAAGACCCUGAAGAACUGACCCCUCACAUGAAGAAGUGGUUGAUAAAGCAAACCAGUAGGAGUGACAAAAGAUGUCUCCAAAAGGGACCAGCUGCUGGACAAAUCUGAGCCUGUGAGUUUCACCUCUGUGGUAAAGUAUUUAAAAAAGGAUAAAAAUAUUGAACAGCAGCUUUGAGAGGAGGGAGAAAAUAUGGAGGGAAACAGUCAUGAAGACACCAAGCUCAGUGAAGAAGGAGGAAAAGAGAUGUUCCAGGCACCAGAGCAGGAUGUUCCCUGUGAGACUGUGAUGAAGUGUGAUGAAGAAGGUUUGAGCCCCUGCAGCCCAUGGUGUAUCAUAUCAGAGCAGAGCAGAGCAGAGCAGAGAUCUACACUACAGUCUGUGGAGGACUCCAUGCCAGAGCAAGCACACCUGCUUUGAAGUAAACUUCAGUUUUUAGAGAUGAGCUCAUGCUGAAGCAGGGGAGGAGCAUUACAAGGAAGGAACAGUAGAGGCAAAGUGUUAUGAACUGACCACAACCCCAUUCCACUGUCCUCAUUCCCCUGAAUCAUGUAAGGCAGAAGACAUAGAAACCUCAAGAUUGAAGUUGAGCCUAAGAAGAAGAGGUGGACAGGAGAAGGAGUCACAGAAGGCUGGAACUUCUUCAAGAAGUCUGAUCUGCUUGGCUGACCAGAGAGCUUCAUUUGGAAUAGAGUGAUUAGCUCAGGAAGAAUGGGAAGGCAACAUACGAGGAAAAAUGUAGUGAUGGAAGACGAGAAUAAGGCUGAGUUACUUAAUUCUUUAUAUUCCUUCUUUCUUCAUUAGUAAUUCCAGUUGUUUCCAGGAUGUCUAGGCCCCUGAGUUGGAAGACAGUGACAGAGAGCAAGAUGAAGCACCUAUAAUCCAAUGGGAAACUUGGUGACCUCCUGCAUCAUCUGAAUGUUCAUAAGUCUAUGGGGCCAGACAGGAUUCAUCCAAAGGCUGCUGUCCUGUUUGUUGCCUGGGAGAAGAGGCCAAACCCCUCCUCAUCACAGCCUUCGUUCAGGAAAUUGGAGACUGCGGUCAUCAAUGAAGAUACUAAACAAGAUGGACACUAGUACCAAACCCUGGAGGACACCACUUGAAACAGAUUUUAAGCAACAGAAUGCUCUCCAGGGCUUGAGCACGGGCAAGUAAAUCGGAAGGUCAUGGGACUUCUUUCUGGGAGUGCUGUGGUUAUGGCAACUCCUUUUGUCAGUACAAGUUGGAGGAACGUAAGGAUGAAGAGCAGCACUGCCAGAAAGGACAUGGGGAUACUGGUGGAUGGGAAGCUGAACACGAGCCAGCAAUGUGCCCUCACAGCCCAGAAAGCAAACCAUAUCCUGGGCUGCAGCAAAAGCAGCAUGGUAAGCAGGUUGAGGAAAGUGACUCUCCAUCUACUCUGCACUGGUGAGACCUCACCUAGGGUACUGCAUCCAGAUAUGGAGUCCUCAGUACAGAAGAGAUGUGAACCUGUUAUAGCACAUCCAGAAGAGGGCCACAAAAAUGAUCUAAGGAUGGAACAUCUCCCCUAUGAGAGCAGGCUGAGAGAGCUGGGGCUGUUCAGCCUGGAGAAGGCUCCAGGGAGACUAAUAGCAGCCUUUCAGGAUCUAAAGGGGAAGCUGUAAGAAAGAAGUGGACAGACUCUUUAGCAAAGUCUGUGGUGACAGAACAAAGGGAAAUGGUUUCAAAUGAAAAGAGGGGAGAUUUAGAUUGGAUAUAAGGAAGAAGUUUUUUUUUUUUACAAUAAGAGAGGUGAGGAGCAAGGAAAAAGAGCAACAAAAAAGGUGAAAGGUCUAGAGGGAACGAUGUAGGAGGAUCAGCCUGCAUUCAGUUUGUUCAGCCCAGAGCAGAGCAGCUGAGGGGAGGCCUCAUGGUGGCUGCAGCUCCUCACAGGGCAUGGAGGGGCAGUGCUGAGCUCUGCUCUGUGGCGACAGCGGUAGGGCCCGAGGGAGCAGCAUGGAGCUGUGUCAGGGAAGGGUCAGGUCGGGAACUAGGAACUGGUUCUCCACUGAGAGGGUGGUCUGGCACUGCAACAGGCUCUCCAGGGAAGCGGUCAUGGCACCAAGCCUGCUGGAGCUCAAGAAGCAUUUGGACAGCACUCUCAGACAUAUGGUUUAACUUUUAGGUAGUCUUGUGUGGAGCCAGGAAUUGGACUUGAUGAUCCUUGUGGGUCCCUUCCAACUUGGGAUCUUUUGUGACUCUGUGAUUCACAAACUGCAGUCAGUGUUUUCAGGGUAACAAGGAGGGUAGAAAAGGGGAGUAAAGUAAGAAUUUUAAGGAAAAGGAUGGUGAAAAUAUCAAGUAGGCGAAGCCCAAGCACAGUAGCAUAAGCACAGAAAUCAACUGAGGAAUAACAAUUAUUUGGAGCUCCUUUAUGACCUGUAACAUUUAGGAUCAAAACUGUCUUUACUUUCCUGGGGUGGAGAGUAACAAUUGUGCCUAGAAAGUCACAUAACUUACCUCUGUGAAUCAUAGAAUUACUCAGGUUGGAAAGGACCUCAGAGAUCAUCAAGUCCAACCGCAGCCUAACCAUAGUACCCUAACUCUAACAACCCCCUGCUGAAUCAUAUCUCUGAGCAUCACAUCCAAACGGCUCUUAAACACAUCCAGGAAUGGUGACUCAACCACCUCCCUGGGGAGCCUAUUCCAGUGUUUAACCACCCUUUCUGUAAAGAAGUGUUUCCUAACGUCCAGCCUAAACUUACCUUGGAGCAACUUGAGGCCAUUUCCCCUUGUCUUGUCACCUGUCACCAGUGAGGAGAGACCUACCCCGCUCUCACUGUAAGCACCUUUCAGGUACUUGAAGAGAGUAAUCAGGUCUCCCCUCAGCCUCCUCUUCCCCAGACUAAACAGCCCCAGCUCCAUCAGCCUCUCCUCAUAGGGCUGAUUUUCCAAGCCCUUCACUAGUCUCAUUGCCUUUCUCUGGACCUACUCCAGUACCUCCAUGUCCUUCUUGUACUGAGAUGCCCAAAACUGAACACAGUCCUCAAGGUGCGGCCUCACCAGUGCUGAGUACAGGGGGAUAAUUACUUCCCUGCUCCUGCUGGCCACACUAUUUCUGAUACAAGCCAGGAUGCCAUUGGCCUUCUUGGCCACCUGGGCACACUGCUGGCUCAUGUUCAGUCUAGCGUCAAGCAACACCCCCAGGUCCAUUUCCUCUACACAGUCUUCCAGCCACUCUGCCCCAAGCCUGUAGCCUUGCCUGGGGUUAUUGCGGUCAAAGUGCAGGACUCGGCAUUUGGUCUUGUUGAAUCCCAUCCCAUUGACUUCAGCCCAGCUAUCCAACCUAUCCAGAUCCCUCUGUAAGGCCUCGCUACCCUCAGGUAGAUCAACACUUCCAGCCAGUUUGGUGUCAUCUGCAAACUUACUGAGGGUGCACUCAAUGCCCUCAUCAAGGUCAUCAAUAAAGAUAUUAAACAGGACAGGCCCCAGCACCGACCCCUGGGGAACACCACUCGUGACCGGUCGCCAGCUGGAUUUAACUCCGUUCACUACCACUCUCUGGGCCCGGCCCUCCAGCCAGUUCCUUACGCAGCCAAGAGUGUAUCUGUCCAAGCCACGAUCUGCCAGCUUCUGCAGAAUACUGUGGGAGACAGUGUCAAAGGCUUUGCUGAAGUCUAGGUAGAGCACAUCAACAGCCUUUCCCUCAUCCACCAGACGGGUCACUGGAUCAUAGAAGGUGAUCAGGUUGGUCAAGCAGGAAUUCACUGGAUAAUAAAUUGGAAAGAGUUGACUGGAAAGAAGAGAAAAUGCAUUCAAGUGAAGUGAUGGUUAAAUUGGGUUUUAUAGACCAGAGGUUGCAUAAAGAAGGCUAGAAGUCUGCAACAGAAACCAAAUGUGCAUUGCAAUAGAAUAAGCAAUGGCAUUCAAGGGAGUGGUCUAUAUGAUGUGCAGAGAUACCAUAUUGUGGCUUUGACAACUGUUCUUCAAACCUUAAUAUUCUUCUGCAUUUCUGUACACAAUACAAAUAUUUGGCAGCCAGUAUGUCAUUGUGUAGAAGGUAAAUUAGAGACAGGAUAUCAGACAGUGGAGAUGACAAUAGCAUAACUUAGAAAAAUAUAAACUGGAUGGUUUGUUUACUCACUUGCAGUCACCAUGCACCACAGUUACAAAAAUGGCGGAUGAACUGAUAUCUGCCUAUGGAAGAAAGUUCAUUUUGUUUACUGCAGAACUUCUUUUUAUGAACCUAAUUUUUCUGCUAUAUAUGUCCAUCAGCAAAUGGAGAUUUUGAGAGAAGUGGAGGGAUAAAAAACCUAAAAUAAGAUCAUGUGUUAUAUUUAUAGACAGUUCCCAAGUGCCCAGGGAAUUCAGAGGUGACAUAUACUCUGAACCCUGCUGUAGUGCUAUAUAUGAACACCAUUCUCUGGAGUUCAUUAUUCUUUCACCUUUAGAUGUCAUAUGAAAUGCAAACAUUUCUGUACUGUUUUAUGUGAAAUAUACCAAGUUCUUUGACAGAGAUACAUUCUUCUUCUGGAGAAGUUUCAGCUUUCAUCUUUGUGAGGACACUGUCAGCAACAUUUGGAGGAGCUUAGAGCAAAGAGCACAGGCAAGACAAAAAAGGAAGAGAUACUAAUGAUCAUAGGAGAGACAUAAAGAGAGACAUCCAGUAUGAAGAUCAUGAGACUUUUACAAACUUUGUACUAAAGGAAAGCAGGAGGGCUGGACUUGUUAUUGUACAAGUUGAUGAUUUCAGUGCAAGAUAAAAAUCUCACUCUUUUUAAUAUAAGUAAAAUACAGUAAAAGAUAACUAGGAAGGCUAUAAGUAUAACGAGGAUAUGUUUCAGAAUUGAUGGAUGAUUCUUUCUGUCUUUGAGAGCUUCACUGCACUGCUGGAUCACACAGCAACUUAAAGUAAGAAAAAAUUACAAUGGAAAAACCACCAUGAAAAUGGAGUAGAAAGGUGAAGAAAUUUAGAAAUGUAAUUUACAAAUGCAGAAUGUUUCUAUUUUCCAUCUGUUCAUGCAGUCACUACACAGUCCUUUCAAACUAAAGCUAAAUCUUUAAAAUAUCUGAUUUAGCUUCUACGAAACUAAAAAAAUGAGUGCCUAAUAAUCCCAUAAUCUCACAGUAACCUUUCAUAUUGUAAGGUAAAAAUGCCUUCAAAACAAAUGGUCUCAGAGGUAGCUGAAUCAUCAUAUCUGUUGGUAAAUAGGAUAUGUGCAUAUGCACUCAGCUCAUUUUACUCUAUCAUAUACUGAUAUUUUAUUAGUGUAGUGUGUGUAUACAUAGCAUAUCUUUAAGAAAAGAAUUGUAGCUGAGAUCAGAGAUUAACUAUUUAGAUAAUUAGAGUCAUCUAGAGACUUAGGUAACAUUUUGCUUUGUUAUUCAAAUCAGAUAACUAUUAGAACUUUAUGGCCUUAACCUUUUAAGACUUUAAAGAAUGGCUUCUGGAAUUUAAUUUAAAAUCCAGUGAAAACAAGCUGGAAGUGUACAAUUCCAGUUGUUUUAAAAGGGAUUGUAUUUUAGGAUCUACAUUACAGAAUUAGCAUGAGUUUAAAAUGUUACUAUGGUGUGUACUUUGUAUUUUGUUAAGGUUUUUUUUUGUUUUGUUUUAUUUUUUGGUUUUGUUUUUUUUAAGAAUGCUGAUGUUUUAAUCUUUGUUAAUUUUUUUGAGCUUUACUUUAAUCUCCAAAUACAAAACAUAUAGUUCAGGUCUGUAAAUUUACCUCAAAGAACUGGAUUGAAAGAGACUAUGUUAGGGACCUAUAAAUCCUUCAUUUAGGUUUCUGUUUUUCUUCAAAGGUGCUUUAGUACAAUUAAUGUAGUUGAGUGUUCAAAAAGUGCUCAACUUCUCUCAAAAUUCUUUCCAUUGCGAAAGUCCUCAAAUAAACAAAUCAUAUAAACAGUUUGAUGUGAUUUUUGAUAAAUUGUUCAAAAAAAAUAAGAAACAAUAGGUAGAAAUUAUCUAUUUCCACAAAAUAAGCAGAAUUUCAGUAUAUUCUUCAAGUAUUUACUUUUCAGCAUAUUUACUGAUGUUCCAGUAGAGAGUGUACUUCUCUCUACUGGAUAGAACAGUUAAGUCCAAAUCUGUCUGAAAGUUUUAUAAGUGAUCUCAUGUUAAACAGUAGUAGAAUGACAAAUGACAUUCAUCACUGAAGUCACGUGGAAAAAGUGACUAUAAAUUAUAUGAACUUUGACAUUAAUUUGCUCUAAACUAGCCACUAUUGCUUGAAAAAAAAUCUUAAAGACACUUACUAGAAUAAGACUUCUCAGGCUGAAGAAGAGGUGAUGGGAAAGUAAAUGACUGGUGUAAGUAAUGCAAAUUGAAGGAGAGAAGAGUUAUUCACUAUUUUAAAUAUUUAAAGAAGUAGAAGGAGGAGAAGGGGACAGAGAUUGAAUUGCCAGUGCUAAACAAAAUAUGGAGCAAUUUUGCAUGAUGAAUAGUCUGUGGGACUCUUUAUUACAAGAUGUUCUGGAAACUAAAAUUAGGAGUUUGAAAAAGAGUUUAAUAAUUCAUAAAGGAUGUAUCAGUCAAUGGCUAGUACACCAUGGUCUGGAUACAACUCAUGAUCAGGAAGUUCCUAGGAAAUUGACUGCCAAAAGGUAAGUUGAAACUAACCUUAUAAAUAUGCUGUUGUUACAUUUUUCUGUUUUCCCUCAAAACUGAUAGGGAAAACAACCUGUGAGGAAAAAUAAAACAAAACAACACAAAACAAAACAAUGAAAAAACCACAGUCUCUUCAGACCCAUCCAUUACAUGCUUCUCAUUUCAGUCAAUGUGAUUUUCCUUCCCUUCCCUUCUCUCUCCUUCCUUACUACUUUCCUUCCAGCUGAUGUGUGGGCAUGCCACUACUGUUCAGAUCCUUCACGUAAUUUCAUUUCCAGGUGUAUUUCCCAAUGAACCUGUAAUCCCAGUACUCUUCAUCUCCAAUUUGAUUUACAUUAAAACUGAAGAUCUCCCUUAUAUAUUUGGAGGAAUAUAAAAAACUUUUUUUUAAUUAUUUUUCUAGGUAAGUCAUUAUAUAAUUUUAAUUUAAUUUCUAAGUCUUGUUUUUAGUUGUUACAAUGAAAUCACCAAAACCUUGUUCACUACUACAGCUCUUAGCCUCCUGAUAAAAACAUAGAGUUUCACUGGAUAAUGUUGUUUCUUACUCAAAAGUCCUGUGUAGAGUUAUUGUUCUUUUAAAAACAGCCUUCCUUCCAGGGUUAGAUGCAUUUGAAAAAUUAACUGAUUGAUUCAGUGUGACAGUUAUUGCUGACAAACUCAGCAUAAAUCAGAGAUCUUGUAUAUGUGCAUUACUGUUUUGCAUUUGCUGUGGAAAAAGUAGGUGUGAUUGUGAGGUAUAUUAACAAAGAUUUCCCUGUAAAGUAUUAAUGCCAAAAAAAACUGGAGGGACAUCACUGUGUAAAACCUCAUUUACCUAUCUAAAGGAAGAUGAUUUCAAACCAGAAAAGGUUCAAAGAAGAACACAGAGUGAUUAGUAAAGCCUGUUUUCCAAGAACAACAAAAGUUGUUUGUUUUAACAUAACCUGCACUUACUUUCAGUAUAGCUUACUGUGCAAUUUAAUGUCAAUCACAAAGUCUACGACUUAUUUGAAGCAAGUACGAGGAUGUUCGACAUAAAAUAGGAUAGAAAGAAUGGAAGAUAAGAUGGAGGACUAGGAAAAAACAAGUAGAUGAGAGGAUGAGGAAAUUCCUAAGAUAACCUCUGCCACAGGUGGGGAGUAGAGCAGGAGCAUAAAUAUGAAUGCAGAAGACAAGCUACAAAUCUUCCUUCUGUAAGGAGAAGCCUAAUGCCAAGAAAGAGGUCUGUUAUUCUUCACUUUCUCUUUUUCGUGAGGAUUGUUUCAUGCUUCUCAUUCAUUAUGUCCUAAACAGUAAAUUCUGUUAGGGUGGAGGAAAAGAUGGAUUUUCUAAACAUUUUAAGUUAUAUCCUAAAUUAAAGGCUAAUUAUGCUAGCUUCAUCUUCUGCUACACAAAUUAGGAUUGAUAAAGGCAAGAAUAUGUCUACAGAAAUUCUCAAAAAUCAAGUAUGAAUACUGCAGCAGCUUAUACCUCUCUAACACCAGUCUCCUCAACUCAGAUACUUUAAAAAGGUGUUCCCGUCAGUGUAAGCUUUCUCUGUAACUGAGGGGAAAAAAAAUGCACACGUUGUGUUUAUUCCGACCUUAGAUGAAAGCAGGGCACUGUGUGCCCUAUAUUCGGUUCAUCCGAAGGCUUAAGAAAACAAUGUAGGACAUUCCUGCUUUCCAAAUAUUUAUAAAAUGUAGUCUCCCUUAUAAACAAACAAACAAAUUGUUAGAAAUAUAAGAAUUUAUAAAUAUGGGUUGCAGUUUUGUCUUUUUGUCUUUCUGUGCAGAAGCAGUAAACAUAAAUUGAUCUAUUUUCAUUAGUGAACAUCCAUAGGUAGAAAUUAAUUGUUAAAUAAACUAUCUGUGGACCAGUUUAUGUCUCAGUGUUUAAGAAUACAGACCUUUCAAAACUGUCGAGGACAGUUAUAUAGCCAUAUAUUAUACAGCUGAUCAUCAGUAUCAUGGGUGUACUUUACCUUCAUGUUAUAAGUAACAAAAUUCCAAGGGAUGAGAUUAAAGAGGUUAUAUGAAAAUUCUUAAUACUUUUAGAAUUUGUGACUUUAUAAGUAUUUUUACAGUGGAAAAACACAAGAAGAUCUUUCUAAAUGAAAGACAAUGAAAAAUCACGUAAAUAUUUCUGUACCUUAAAAGUACUUUGUUUGAAUUUUAAAAAUUACUUAGGCCUUUUUUGUGUGUGUAUGUGUUUGCAGAUUUUCUAUUUCUCAACAUUUUAAGAAAAUAUUAUGCAGUAUAAAUGCCUUAUUCUGUAUAUUAUUUAUUGAUUUAGGUACACUUACUUCCUUUGAAUACUUUCUAAACAGAACUGUUGUUUUCUGAAUUGAUUUUGCUGUCUCAGCCACACUGAAGCAUAGACACUUUUUUGGCUUCCAUCUGAAUGAACAAUUUCCUAGUUAGACACACUGGAUUUAGAGUUGGGUCAAUAAAAGCUUUACUGUGUCCUUUCUCUUUCCUCACACAACUUACAAAAGAGAACUAAAUUCCAUUCAUCCUUUCACUGGCCACUGUGGAAUCUUUAGCAAUGCAAUUCUGACUGGGAUGAGGAAACAUGGCAAGAAAUUGGAAGAAACACAAAUGAGAAUUCUUUAUUUCCCAUGCUCACUGCCCUGAAGAUCUGUUGCCACUGGGGAUGCAUGUGAAUUUCCUGCACUUUAACUAUUUGUCUCUGCCACUGAAUUGCUUUGGAAGUAUAGCACAUUAGAUAUCAAAAGAAGAUUUAGCUUAAUCCUGCUGGAUCUGAUGUGGUUAACUAAGUUAUUUGCAAAAAGACCGUUUUGAGUGGUUCUUGGCAAUCUGAACAUAAAGGUUCAUUGAACAGGUCUCAUGUGAGGAGUUCUUUUUCACUUCUGAGUAACACAAACGUUACCAUAGAUCAAUAAAGUGCUUUUACUCUAAUUUUUGUAGACAGAUGCAAAUUUCUCUUCAGAUUUUCUGGUGUACCGAAUAGUUGUUUGCAACAAUGCAGUUAAAGCAUUAAAUUUGUGUUGCUGUUGCUGUUUGCUUACUUUUCGAUGCUACAUACUGCUCUUAUAGAUAACCCUUUCAGAAUAAAUACUGCUGUGAUAAGAAAAUAUAAUCAUUUUAAAUUGUAGGCAUUCUCAAGAUAGCUUCUGGUUUCUUCUAUUUUGUGUUUCUCCAAAAGCUUCCGUAUGUAUUAUCAGCUGUACUCUCCCAGUCAUUGAGAAUUAUUCAUUCCCUCAUUUCUAUAUUGAUAUCCGAUGUGCAUAAGUAGGAAUAAAUAAAUAAAUAAAUAAAUAAAUAAAUAAAUGAGGUCUUGGCAGAUUUUUUUUUUUUCCUAGAAGCUUAAGCAUGGUCAUACUUUCUCCUGAAGUCUUUACAUGUGCGCAUGUCAGAAAAGCAGAUCCUUACGAGCAUGCCCAAAUAGCCUUUUUAGGCAUAAACUCAGGCUCCAUCAGCCAGCCAGCCAUCCAGACAGUUUUGUCCAUAUGUGACACAGUAGUCACCCAGUGACUGUACUGGUAGGACAUAGCAUGACGAAAAUCAAACACCUUUUCCUAAGCUCUGAUACUACAUCAGGAAAGCAAAGUUUUCUACAGG
ensembl:lncRNA